CCCGCUCCGGUUCACUCUGAAAGCAGCAGCUCUGAAAGAAGGGCAGCCCCGGCCGAGCAGGCGGAAAGGGGCCGGCUCUGACCGUCACCAGCUCCCCGGGGCCGCCCCGGGCGCCCUCCCUGCCCUGAGGGCUCGUCGCUAAAACCUCCCUUCAUUCCGCUCAUCCAGAACCAUCCAUGUAUCUUCCACGGUUCAAAUGCUGUUGCUUUCAAACCCACAUUAGUUGAAAUGGUGAAUUCUUGCAAAGAACAGGUGCUUUGGCAGAAGAAAACUUAAGACCUAUUAGGAAGAAACUACUUUAAAGAGGCUAAAAAUAUAAAAUACAUAAGUUUUAGCUUUCAUCGCCAUCUAUAGCUUGGGUAUUUCGCAUGGGUUUUGGCUGACAAAAUCAGUGCCAAACCUUCCACUUCAUUCAGCUGAGCUAAAUUUCUUUUGCUGUCCCCUUAAUGCCUGUAGAUUUUGAAGUGCGAAAUUGUUUUGUGUGUUAAAAUUGAACAUUUCUUGUUUGUGCUUAGACAAAUAAUAUUUGUAGAUAUUUCUACUUUGUCCCUUCUCUACUUUCAAAUUUAAAACAAAAAAUUAGGCCCUAAUUGCAUUUGGGAAACUUAGCUAACUUUUUAUUCUCUGUAGCUAAAAUAUGUCUAUUGGGUUUGUUCUGUGUAUCAAAAGAAAGAACUGUUUGUUUGAAUCUUUGUACAGUUUCACAAAUGUCUAGAGAAACUCUUGGACGUUAUAUUUCAACUUUUGUGUGAUGUUGCCAGGAGAUAAAUAUGCGUGUGAAUGAGAAGAGAAAGGAAACGGAAAGAGGUCUGUCCAGAACUAAUUUGGUGGUAAACACAUUGCUUUAGAGUGGUCACUCAUUUUUAUAAAGGAAACACUGUUCUGAAAGAGCAUGUAGUCAACAAAAUGCAUUAACUUUGAAUCACUACAACAUUGCCAUUCCAUAUAUGGCAAUUUAUUGCCAUAAACUUUUAUUACAGUUUUUAGAGAAAUACAAGGUUGAAAUGUUCAGGACUUGUAGCUCUCUGAAAACGUUAAAUUAUCUGCAUUCAAAAACUGCUGUGUCCUGAGCCAUAAGCACUGCCUUCGCUUGUGGAAUGCUCUGAACUAGCUGGUGCCUAAUGUUUUGUUACUUUCUAGCAGUAUAUAAUCAAGGUGUUUGAGACAGAGAGAUCUGUUGACUGUCAGGGCAAUGUGUUCUGGUAGCAUUUCAGCUGAGCAAAGAGAAUUGGUCCUGAGCACACUUAACUCAUUCCUGUUAGUUGCAACAAGUUUGAACUUCCAUAUGCUAAUAUGAUAAAAGGAGUUAAAAAUCCAUUACCCUUUUCCGACUAAGCUUUUAAAUUUUACCUUGGUGUUAAUCCCAAACUGCUCAUCUUUCACUUGUGAGUAUUUAGAUUGGAAAUUUAGCUGCUUUUGUAGCUGGAGGUCUUCUGUACUUGCUCAAAUACAGGCUUUUCCACUGUUUGGCUGUUUCUUUAUUAAGUUCUUGUACAAAUCAUAGUGAAAUACAUUAAGAAAGCAACGGGAAAUGAAAAGAAUUUGUGGGGUUUAUUUUGUUAUUUUGUUUGUUUGUUUGUUUUUCCUCUUUUUUUUUUUUUUGGCAGGGGAGGAAGAGUUGUUUUGUGGGGAACAGGCUAUAGGAAGAAAAUGUUUGUAUUCCUUAUUCACAGAAGUUAUUAAGUGGUACUGUGAUAAAUAGCUAAUUUGAUACUAUAAGAAGAAUGAGUGAGUCAUUUUCUGCUGAGAUAGUUACAUAAAUUAGACACUGGCUUAAUAAGCCUCCAUUUCAGUGAAAUACACUGUACAUUCUUUGUAUUCUUGGGUCUUCCCUAACCAAUGGAACUCUUUUUUUUCAACAGAUUCAAUAUUUUAAAUAUCUUCGCUGAGUCAAGAAAAUGGUGACUUCUCAUUAAUUUUAUUUUGAUCUUUUUUUUUUCUUUUUCUUGCAUACAUGUACCAAUGAUAUCAUAUUCUGCAGUUAAACCCCUUAAAACAGUCCUGGGUUCAAGUUCUGCCUAACGUGCUCCCUAAUCACUGCACUGACCUGGUAAUGGCAAGGGUCUUUGCUGUCAUAUUUGAUCUCAUUUUCAAUCAUCAAAGCAAUUAAUUUUUAAGAGGACUCCCUUCCUCCCUUUAUGCAAUAUUCUGAUUUUACAAAUUAAAAUUAAAAAAUAUGUUGAGGUAUAGGCAUGCUUCUGUCAUAAAAGAAAACACACCUGGCUUGUAAACUAAAAAAUGAGAGAAAAUAGGAGGUUAUGUUAUGAUUUUGUUGUUCAAAUGUCGUUAAUGUGCAUACAAUUAAUUAUGCAUCUUAAAUAUCUGAUACUCUUUUCGAUGUAAGAACUAUGGAGAAAUGAAUACUUCAAGGGAUGUAUUGAAAAAUAUAUCUUACAUAAUCCUACUUCUUCUUGGCAACAUUUCUUUGUCUUUCUUUUUUCUUCUCCCUUCUUCAUAAGGGGAUAGCAAAGUAAGUAGCUGGAGUGAUCUGUUGUGUAUCUUCUGGCUGACAAUUUGCUGGUAUCCUUGUUAAGUGUUAAGAUAAAAUGCUUUUGUUACAAGGUGUUACUUUUAAAGAAUUAAAAGAGUUAAAAAUAACUUUACUGAUAAGUAAAUAUUCCUUGAAAAAAUCUGUUGCAUUGGUUGUUAUAACUUCGGGGUUUUUUAAAAUAUAUUAGGAUAAAACCAGUUUGACACUUUUUAAUGGAGGAUUAGCAAAACUUU